AUGACCCGGAGUAUAAAUCAUGUAAGAAUCCAUCAUCCUUUCACCCUAUGUUUCAGAAACCCUAAUCUCCUUCGCCUCCAUCGUUUGUUCUUUCAUCAUCAGUCAUCGAUAUCAAAUCACCAUUCUUUUGUAAACCCUAACCUUCCUUCCCCUUCAUCAUGAAUCAUCAUUCUCUUCUCUUCUCCAAUGGUUAAACAAACCAGAUAGGGUUUCCAUUUCCUCAUUUCAAUCCGAUUUCAAAUCUCAGAAACCCUAUGCAAUCCGAAGAUAUCUUUAGGAUUGUUUUCGAAGCCCUAGAUAUUGCAUACAUCGUCCUUCUCGAUGAAGCCUCUUAAAUCUAAACAUUCAAGCAUCAGUCUAGGGUUCCGGUGGUAGAACUCAAGCAGAUCGGUGGAAAUAAAGACGAGUUCCCAGGUGUAGAUGGUGGUUGAGGUAGGCCCCGAGAAACAGAGAUCUAGGGUUUAACUUUCAUGUGUGGAUUUUUUAACUCUAAAGUUGCUUCUGAGGGGAUCCAUCUGCAAUUUCUUCCAUUUGUUGUGCUGCCUCUGCCCUUUAGUAUCCUGCAGGUUCAGAAGUUAUCUUAGCAUUAGUGUUAGAAUCGAUGGAAUUUUGUUUGAAGUCGUGUGGUUCUAAAGCGAGUGCAUUGGAAGAGUUAUCAAAGGCUAUAAAAUUGGCCCCUACAAGAAGGGACUUUAUUGAAAGUGGUCGUUUGUUAUUGGCGCAACUUUUAUCUCCAACGGGUCAUAUGGGGUUAAGCUGGUCAAAAGUGCAAAAAGGUAACAAGUGUUAGUUGUCAUCGAAAAGAUUAACUGUAUGAUAAUCUCACCAGUGGAUGGAUCAGUACACAUUUGGAAAGCCUGAGCAUUAAAAACCUGCAAUUGCAAAGCCUGAGCAUUAUCUGUUUCUGAUGAUUUUUUUACAGUUUGCGAUUACAGCAGCAAUCAUCACUGUGUGCACAAUGGGCACACUGUUUCAGUACAGUGAUAAAACAUUGGUGUUUGUCUAUUUCUUUCUGUUUGGGCUCAGUGGCAUAAUGCUAUUGUCCCUGAUCUCUACUUUUUCACACGAGCAAAAUCGGCUAUGGCAGUUGGAACUCUUACUUUUCUUGGAGCCUUUUUCCCUUAUUAUAAGGUCAAUGACGAAGCUGUUUCUAUGUAAGUUACUGAUAUAUAAUAUUAAUCAAUGAAUGAUGCAGUUAUGUUUUAUGAUGAUAAUGGGAAUUUGGAUCCAAGGGUUAGUGAGCAAGAAAUCAAGGAGGAAUUUCGCAUCUUCGGUGUUAUCCGCAAGUAAGCGUGGAGAUUUUGUAUUCAAUUUUUGAAGUUUAAGUUGUUAAUUAAGUUCUGUUUGGUGUAAGUUGUUAUUGUUGAUUAGUGUGGGAGAUCACUUGUGAGGUUAUCUUGAAGGGAACUGUUAAGAUUUGAUUAUUGAUCACUAUUUAAUUUUUUGGACCUUCUUCUUCCCUUUUUUGUUUUGACUUUGACAAACAGACAAGAAAAUAACCAGUGCCAAACUGUCACUAUGGUCAGAAAUAGCUCCAGUAAUACCGCCAGCAAGCCUAUCUGUUAAUAACAUUUGCAAGAGUAUAAUGUUUGCCUGUGCUACAUGUAGAAUACAACUUCAAAUGCAAGUUUGUGCUAGAAAAGUGAGAGAAACUGCCACUUUUAUUGCAGAUGCAGGAAUCCCGAUGGAGCACAUGGAAAGUAGAUGGAGAUUUGGAUCUUGAUAUCCACAUGGAGAGUUGGAGCUUAAUGUCUACUUGUUUAGUGCUAUAGGUUCUAUGCGCUCUCUAUGACUUGGUGUAAUCUAUUCCUAAUAUCUUAUAUUUGUGGAUCAUAUGUAUAAGUAGAAAAGUAAUUACAAAAUAGGGUGUAGAUGAGGUUAGCCGACCCGCUAUAUAAUUUAAGAUGUCUCGAGCUAGACUCAUUUAGAGCUUCAUUUUUAAAGCUCAAGUUUGAUUUGUAAUAUAAUAUAAUAAUUUUUUCAAAUUUGAGUUUGACGUGGACUA